AAAAAGGAUGUAUGUCUGAGUUUCAAGGUCAAGCCCGUGCAGUUUAUUUUCUCAAAGGCUGUUCAAGUGAUGGGACCGCCAUAGGAUUGUUUUGUCCUCUGUAGGUGUGGUUCAUUUCCCAGCAUUCAACCUCCCCCCCAGGUUUUGUAAGCGGAUCUGGCGGCUCAUUGUUUUAACGUGUUCAUUUAAGAUGUUAAAAAAGCGCCGUGUCACAAUGGCAGAGAAAAUAAAGCUAGAACCUGGAGUUUGCCCCCCCACCCCUUUUGUAUUAAAGACUGUCCGUGGUGACCUGAGCGCGACCGCAGGUUUUGCACGGAGUUACACAACAGCAGAGCAUUGUGCACCAUUACAAAGCCAACCGCCUGCCAAUUUGCUUCGCUCCAUUCGAGGCUCUCCCGUGAGUUCAUGUGAGCAAGCAUCAACCAACUGCGUAUGUGAGCCACAAAAAUAACGAUACACCCGUUUUUACGGGGUAAUCCGCAGUUAAAGUGAAACCUCGGUGUCCCAGUGGUGUUCUCCGUGCCCCAGGGACCCCGCCUUGCCCUUGCACCCUCCACGCCGAAGCAUUAAUUAAUGGUGCCCAAAAGGGACACCGUGUGAUCACAAAGGUAAAUCAAACACUGGUGUAGUAGUGCCACGCAAGUGUUACAUAAAUUUCCUGACAAUCUUUAGCCACGUUUGGAGGUCCAAAAAGUUAGUCAAGCUGGGGAAUUUUAGAGCAAUCCAGCAGAAUGUUUGGCAAAGGCAAGUAAAUGUUAUUUGAGGGGAGGAGUCAAACGACGAAGGGCUUUCGCCCAAGUGUCAAAGUGCCAUAAUUUACCAGUAUGUAGUUUAGAGGUGGUAAACAUACAGAUGUAUUUUGUGAAAUUCAUGUCUUCACAUAUUUGUAUGUAUUUUCAAAAAUAAUAUUUUACAUACUGAAU